AAUUUUCCGCAAAUAUAUCAAAGGAACGAAAGAAAAGACCAACUAAUAAGAUCAUAUAUCGAUAUAAUCGUGUAUACCUCUUCUAUUUUUCUGUUAUUUGCUAUAUUUUUUAUUUUUCUGCCUUCUGAGUUGUUU
rnacentral:ribozyme from 1 species